AACGAACGCUGGCGGCAUGCCUAACACAUGCAAGUCGAACGAGACCUUCGGGUCUAGUGGCGCACGGGUGCGUAACGCGUGGGAACCUGCCCUUAGGUUCGGAAUAACUCCUCGAAAGGGGUGCUAAUACCGGAUAAUGUCUUCGGACCAAAGAUUUAUCGCCUUUGGAUGGGCCCGCGUAGGAUUAGGUAGUUGGUGGGGUAAAGGCCUACCAAGCCGACGAUCCUUAGCUGGUCUGAGAGGAUGAUCAGCCACACUGGGACUGAGACACGGCCCAGACUCCUACGGGAGGCAGCAGUGGGGAAUAUUGGACAAUGGGCGAAAGCCUGAUCCAGCAAUGCCGCGUGAGUGAUGAAGGCCUUAGGGUUGUAAAGCUCUUUUACCAGGGAUGAUAAUGACAGUACCUGGAGAAUAAGCUCCGGCUAACUCCGUGCCAGCCGCCGCAGUAAAAC
rnacentral:rRNA from 1 species